UGUGUGCCCUGUUUCUCGGUAGGCACCAUGUGGGGGCUGCCACACAUGUGCCGAAGCUUUGGGAACGUUCCGUUUAAAUACCAAUUUCGAUGCCAAUGCCUAACAUGGAGCACAAAUAUCCAGGCCAGCAUAGAUCAGGGGCUCAGGGACCUGCCAGCUCAGAUGUCAUUUCAUCGGGGGAAGAGAUUCUGUUGGCCAACCUUAUCGCUGUGACCAGCUGAUCAGG
rnacentral:lncRNA from 1 species